GUAAAUAUAGUUUAAAAAAAUACCAGACUGUGAAUCUGGAGAUAGGGUACUAACCCCCCCCUUAUUUACC
rnacentral:tRNA from 1 species